rnacentral:tRNA from 1 species
GCCGAAAUAGCUCAGUAGGUAGAGCACUUGAUUCGUAAUCAUGAGGCCGGGUGUUCGAUUCACCUUUUCGGCA